UAAUGCUUCCAAGCAUGGGUACAAUGUUGGUUUGGAUCUUAUAAACUAACCUCUGGAAAAAGGUAUUUGAAGGGAAAAGCAGUUGAAACUCUCAAGGAAGCUUACAUUACAUUUCGCGUUCACUUACCAUUAAUAUGGCAUGUGAUGUGAUGAUUAGGAUGACUAUAAAACUAGCCGCAUUUUCUCAAGUCUCACUGAUUUUGCUAAUUAUGUAAGUUACUUUUAAAAUUAUAGAAGGAUCCCUAUUGAGAAUACCUAUGGCAUCAAACUACUGUUGGUAGUUUCUUUGCCAAUCACCACAUCUAAUAUUUAUUCAAUUUAUCCUUCUUUAUUAUAAUGACUGGUUUCACAUCCCGAAAUGGUAUGUAUGUACAUUUACACACAUGGACAUUGACUAAUAG
rnacentral:misc_RNA from 1 species